GACACUCUGGCAAGCCUCAGCCUCCUC
rnacentral:piRNA from 1 species